rnacentral:sRNA from 1 species
ACGCGAGAGAGGAGGUGGUCCGAGUAAUGAAUGACUUGUGGACACGUGAGGUGGCUCGCCGCUGACCAGCGGCAUCGCCAGGACCGCGCCGGGUGACCGGCGCAGCUGUUGGUAGCAGCGAAUCCCAGCGAGCUACCCGGACCCGCAGGCGCCGGAAGAGUCCAUCCGGCACGCCUCCUUCGCGAGGCAGCCUGCGGGUCUGUCCAU